rnacentral:lncRNA from 1 species
CUAACUUAUAUUCACGCUAAUUUAGAUGAUGAAGUAGAGGCCCUUUGCCCAAUGGAUAAGUUUAGGAACAGAAACUUCAAAUAAUAUGUGUCACAGACUGAUUGAUUGGUUUUUUAUGAAACCGUUUCCUUUUACCUCCUAGGUGCAUAGCCUGACUACAUUUCCUAGCCUCCCUUGUAGUCAGGUGUGGUCAUAUGACAGAGUUCUGGCCAGUGGAAUAUGGCAGAAAUGAUUAAUGCCACUUCUAGAGCUGGUCCAUAAAACCUUCCACACAAUCCUGCAUGCUUCCUGUCUCUACCCCGUCUGCUGACUGGAAACAGGGAAUACAGAAUCCUCCAAUAGAGGAUUCCAAAACCUGUAACAGUGAUCAGAGCCACAAGGUGGAUCGUUCUGGGUCUCGGAAUCAUCCGGUGGGAGGCCAUCAAGUGAACACCUGCAUUAAACUGUUAUGCGAGGGAGACGUUAACUUCCAUUGAGAUGAAAAUACCUGGUUUGUCUAACAUCUGACCUCCAGCAGAAGACAGCUUACCAAGCCUAUAGAGAUGAGUCUCACCAGCAAACGAAGACAGCCCUUCAAUUUCCUACAAGUGGACUCUGCAAUUGACGUGCAGGUGGUGGCAGGGCCCAUAGUCUGGGGAUGGGCCAAAAUGCCUAGGAGGCAAGUAGAUUCUUCCUCUAUACUCAGUAGACUAGCAACAGUUACCACUCCCGGGAAAAGACACCCCCACAUCUUGUCUUUUCACAGGCUAAUAACUACUUGUUCAGCAAUUUAGCACGUCCCAGGCUGCUGGAAACUAACAUCUUCCUGAAGAGGAUGUCCUUCACCCUUCUCCCUCCAGGCACGACAAGUUUUCAAGACCAAGAGAGUAGAGAAGUCAGAUCAAGUGGAGCUUCCAGGAAGUGUGCAGAGUUGAGGUGGAAAGAGAAAAGACUGGAAAAAGGGACUCCGAUGCCGGUUGUCUAAACAGAGGGAGUAUUUGCCUCCUGGACAUUGAGUAAAUCAAUGUGUGAGCAUUUUAAAAGGUUAAAAGGUCAGUGAAAUGAUUGAUGGUUUAUGGAGGUGGGGGCAGGAGGAUGGCAAAAGGAGUUCUCAAGAGUGAGCACUUUCAGGAACAAACCGAACAUGGAACCGUGAGUGAACUGCUAGAUACAGAAAGGGCUCAAUCCAGCCAGGCGCGGUGGCUCACGCCUGUAAUCCCAACACUUUGGGAGG